GGCGCGCGUUAGAUCCCUGUGGGCGCACUGCGGUCUGGGCUGCGCCUGCAGGGGGGCGGCCGGAGGUGUUUCUUGGCACUGGGUGCCUGCCAGCCUUCUCUCCCCCUUCUGAUAGAGAGAAAGGGCCAGAAAAAGUGGUGGUACAUUUUGGGAAAAGUGCUGCAUCAAAACAGAUAGGAAAUGAAGAUGAUUGAUGGGAUAGAAUUCACAGUUCCUCCCAGGAACUGAUAUCACUCCGGAAAGAUGCUCACACUUGUAUGCUUGCCUGUCUGCUAUGAGACAGUCUCCUUAACGCUUCUUUUUUAAUUUUUUACCUUCGUUUUUUUCCUCAGUCAUAACUGGCUAGAAUUAUUUGAUACAGGGAGUAAAAACUUUGUUUCCAUUAGAGGGUUGAAGGUCAGCCAGAGCCCUUAUUCUGCUGUUCAGAUGCUUUCUGAGAAAGCUUUCUGGCUGUCAGAAAUGAGCCCAGACCUGGUGCUGUGUUUUUCUUGUUCUGCUGUUCUUCCCACUGCAUCUGAAGCAAGGCCUGAGGUGUCGGCCUGCUUUCCAAGCAAGUCUGGUUCUUUUCUCUUUUUCUUUUUUGUCUUUUUUUUUUUCUUUUUCUCCUUUUUCUCUUCCUUUUUGGCUUGUUUUCAUGUUUCCAAACCUAACAGUAGCAGACGUAUUAAGGGCUUUUUGGAGCACAUUUGUCCCUGUCCAAGUCUUCCAGUUAAAUGCUUGCCAAGUGCAGUAUUUUAGGCUUUGCAGCGUUUUGCUUGGGUAUUCUGUUUGGCUUUUCUUCUGUGUGUUUUUGAUUCUUUUUUUUUUUUUUUAAAUUGCAAAGCUCCAAAACAAUUUUUUCUUAGUAGGAUGGCGAUAGCUUUGGAGCAUCUAGGAGAAAGAAGAUUAUCUGCCAGCUUCUUGCAAUUCCCAUGUCCAAAGCUGCUGUAGUAAACUGGAAACCACACAUAUUUGAGUGAUUUAAAUAUAUCAAUACCAAAGAGGUAGACAAAUUUUUUACAGGACUGUCAGAAUUCAUUUGUAAAUAAUGCGGAGCCUGGUCAGAACUGAGUAAUAGUUUCAACGAAUGACCUAAUUUCUAUUGGUGACUUGAGGCCUUCAAGUAUUAGAAAAGAGCCUACAAGAAUGUGUAAUAUCACAAAAUACAAGAUACUGUACAGAUUAAUAACUAUUGUACAGAUUAAAUAACUGUAACUAAUUAAUUAACAAUAAGAGAUUAAUUAACUGUAACUAAUGUACAGAUUAAUAACUAUUUGUAGUGUGAAUCCAGGAACCCUCCAGCAGAGUAAUGGGAAAAUACCUGGAUUUAUUAGUCAACAAUGAAAGCAGGCUGCCAGUUUAACGUGGUUGUGAAAAAGCUGAGUGUGACAGUGGUGUGCACACAGCCAGGCUUCUGGGUGACUGGUGAGACAUUACUGUAUCCAGUUCUGAUAAAUCAUGUCCAGGAAAGAGCAGUUUGUGCACAAGUACUUCCAGGAGGGUUACUGGAGAUGAGAACAAAGCUUAUCUACAAGAGGCUCUGGGAAUAUUUGUUUGAUUAACCUAGGAAAAGCAAAUGCAGGGAAGGGUUAUGAGUAACCAGUAAGGCAGGGUGGAGUCAGGCUCAAGUGAGUAGGCAUUUAACCUAAUGAGCAACACUCAUGGGAGAGCACAGAUCUAAACUGAUAAUAACUAGAUAGAAAACUAAGCCCUGUCUCAGUGCAGUGAGGGUUUCGUCUUCCGUGAAGAACAGUGGACUUAUCUAACAGGCUUUAAAAUGUGUUGUGCAUCAGAAUAGGAAGAUUAUAUGUAAUUACACAAAACAGAUUUAAGUGAUCAAUGUUGGAGGGAGGAGUUUUGAGCCUCCCCAACUCAUCCUGAGACCAGAGCAACUUCCUGAUGUUCAGCAGAAAAAAAAGCUGUCAACUACUGGUUCAUGAUGGGGAGGGUGGGAAGGCCACAGUUCAGAAAGAGGUACCAGAAAUGCUCCCACUAAGGAGAUUUACACCCAAGUCUUCAGUCUCUUAGAUUGGAUGGGCAGCAAAAUGUUAUUUUACUUAAUAGUGUAUGCAGGGACCUAAGAAAUGUAGAAACUGGAAAUACAGAAGGAUAGUGUAUAUAGAGUAUGGAGGAUGUAAAAGAAAAUGUAGGAUGGUCAACAGGAGGAGGUGCUGGAUGGUGUGAGUGUUCCUGAGGAUCUUGCCAUAUCUGUUCUGAGGCUGAACAUCCAUAUCUGUUCUGAGGCUGAACAUCUUGUCAUUGCCCAGUGCUGUUUUUCUGAACUUCAUUUUUGAUUGUAACUCAUCUGACAAGAACAACAGCACUGAAAAUUCACCUAAUAAGUGCUGGAGGCUUAGCCCUAAAAACAAAUACAGUGUCAGUUAUGUGGAGUUAUUUAGAGUGAGGUGGAGAACAUGGGGUCAUUUAGGUCCUGCCAGUCUGUUUUUAUUGCAUGUUGCUUAUACUUCUGUUCUUCCUUACUGAAGAACGGGAGAAAAAAACCAAGGCAAUAAAUUGCAGGGAAAGAGAAACUUCCUGCCAUAAAAUAUUGAAUCGGGCAAGGCUUGCCAGGCAAAUAUCUCAGCCCACAGCAUGCUUUCCCAGCGUGACUUCCUUUGUAGCUUCUCACAGGAGACUCCAGAGUCAUCUAGUCCCCCUGUGCUGUACAGCUGGGCUUUUGCCGGCUUCCUAGGAUUUAGAAACUUCAGGUUUAUUGCUCACUUCUCAAGUCUUUUUAUGUCUUGUAUCGAGCUGUCUUAUUUCAAGCUUCAGUGGCCUGCGGCUUACCGCACUCUUUUAUGGUAGCCUGGAGUUUCUCAGUAAAUAUUGCAUUUUUAUCUUGCACAGCAACCAACACACUGGUUUGUAAUUUUUUUGCUAGCUAUUGUAGCCUGUGACUGUGCAUUAGGGUAUGUAUUUAAAAGAGAAAAAUGGCCUCUUUUAUCUAUUUCCAUUCUAGAGCUAGGGUUUGCCAAUUCUUCACUGUUAACAGUAUCAGUCACAAGAUGUAGCAGCAUGAAAAAUGGGGGAAGCUGUAGUUCCCUCCCUCUGAGAGCUGAUGAUGGGCUUCUGACCCUGAAGUGCAAGAAAAUGUGUGAGAUAAAGCUGUCUGUGCUACAAACUGUUCUGGUGUCCAUUUGUUUUCCAUGGUCAAGUGUUCUUUUAAGUGCUUAUUAGUAGAAGAACAUGAUUUCCUGUCCUUGCUUACCAUCGUGUCUUUACAUUCAGGCUGUCAAUUUCUCCUCACUGUGUGUCAUUGCAGUAUUUAGGAAGUGUUAAGGAUUAAGAUUUUGUUUAGUCCUUAAUAUUUCUUGCUAGAUAAAUUGUCUUGUUAGUAGUGUCCUUAAAGUUGUUAGCAAAUUGAGGAUGCAGCUAGCUGCAGUGGAAGGUGGCUGACUUGGCUUAUCCUGUUCUUAGCACUUUAGCACCUUACCAGAUGAUCAGACUGGUAAUUUCCCUUUCACACUAGCAGUAAAGUUGUCCCAUUCCUUUACCAAGUGCAAAAUUAUAAAUGUUUGACACCUUUGUUUGCUUUCUAGGUGAGAGCAGGAACUAUCUGGAUGUACCUGUAAAGGUGAAGGAGGCCGGACCUCCUCUGUCAUGUCUGGCAUCAGUUGGGUGGCCACUCAGGUCGCCCUAGAGCCCAUCAGUGACAGCCAGCACCAUCUCCAGCCUGCUGGAGGGACGAGGAUUUGGGAUUUAACUUACCACACUGGAAGAGCAUGUUACAGAAGCAAGGGUUCAUUAACCUCUCUGCUUGGGGCUUUUUGUUUUGUUCUUAAGCAAAUCUAAGCCCUUGUUUUGGAAGCCUCACUGAAGCCGGGGUGCCAAGAUGAGAUAGCAGCCUCUCCACAGACCCCACUGUAAGGAAAAGUCAAAAUCUCCAGUGAUGAAUUACAGUCAUCAUUACUUGUCUGCAUUGGCUGGAGCUUGCAGUUCCCUGUGUGCAGGGAUUCACUCCCCUGUGCCAUGCUGGGCUCAGCACCCUAAGCUGGUAAAUUAGGCUGAUCUUCCAGGGUAGCAAGUGUGAUGGUCGUCAGUAUUGCUAUGCUUUAGUUCUGGAACCUGGUUUUGGGAAGAGAAUUCACAAAGCUGAGGUAAGCUCUAGGAAAUUCUUGGCAAAACUGGGACUUAAGCACUUGGAUUCCCAGUGGCCAAGCAUGCUGAGUGAGGAGAUUUUAAACCAGAUGAUUGGAAUUCUUUGGGCAACUCUUUUCUGCUCAGUUUUUAUUGCUUAUAGCCUUCACUUAAGCACAUUUAGAGUCAGAGAGCCAAAAUCUGAAGUGGGCUCUUGUACUUCCUGUGAUCCAUAGGGGUGAAGGCAGACCCUGGAAGCUGGCUCUGUUACCUCCCCAGCUCUGCCCAACCCCACACUGCCUUUCUCUCUCUGACACCUGUGCUGGGCCAUUUCAGCUCACUGAAUUUGUAGAAAGUGAACCCAGACUAUGAAUACAAAUAGUUUUAUAAUUCCUAGCUGCCAGGGGCUCAGCCAUGAAAGAAGAACAGAGUUAACUCUGUUAACUCUCACAGCGUUAACAUCUUCAACUUAAAACAGUUUAACCCCCACCUAUUGAUUCCCAGGAGGCUGUUUUGUGUUGUGAGGGAAAACAAAUGAGAUUACAUUCCAGCAGAACGAGAUUCAAUUAAUGUGUUUUCCCUUACAACUAGAGAGGACAACCAGUGUGAACACAAUUACUGUGGCUUCACCAAUACAUACUCAUUAAAUUGCUGUACCUGCCACUUUCAAUUGUGUGAUCCAGUCCCCAGGGUUUGGGUUCUUCCGGUUUUUUACAGUUUGAAAGAGAUGGAGACAAUAGGACUAGACAUACCAAAGUCUUCUCUCAGUCAUAAUUUAAUUUUCUAACCAGAAAGGAGCAUUAAGGUAGCUUCAGUCCCAUGGGUUUAUUUCAAAACUUGAUAGGUCUGCAGAUCCCCACAGCUUUCUCAUUAUUGAUCUUUCCUAACACUGCAGGUUAACUGUUAAAGGAAGGGGAUCACUUGUUGAGGGGUAGGAAUGAUGAGUUUUUAACUGUUUUAUGCAGUCAGUUGCCCAUCCCUGUCGUGUAUUAAGGUCAUUGUGUUUAAUUGAAGAUGGUGGUUAAAUUAAAAAAAGAGUAAUUGCUCCUGGCCCCUCUUUUUACUAAUAGUGGAAAUUUGAUAAACCAUUCCCCAAAGUGCCUGGAAAUCAAAGUGAAAAUAGUAUGAAUUAGCUUGUGACCUGAUUUUUAGUUAUUUUAUUUUUGUUUUCAGUGGUUUUGGUGGACUUUUGCUGAUGUAUUAUGGCAUUUCACAACAAAGUUUUCCUUGCUUCCCAUAAAGCAAAUGAGAAACCUUGAUGGUGCAAUUAAUUUUAAUUAAAACUUCCACUUAAGUAUUUCUUAAGUUUUGUAAGAAAUACUCAUCACUAAUAAGUUAAAUAGCUGUUGUUCAGAUGUAAAAACAGGGGGAGUCAAUUUCAAGGUACAAAAAACACAGCAAAAUAAACCAAAACCAGGUAAUUUAUUAUUCUAUUUGACUCUGCCACUCUUUCUUCUUAUGAUGUUUAAAAAUAAAUCAAUUUAAUCACCAGACUUAAGGGAAAGCUAAGAUAAUGAUAGUCUGUUUUUAUUAAGAUACAAAAGUUUUGCAAUAUCUGUCAUAAGUCAGCCUUUUUUUUUGAGUGAGACUUAAAAUAAGUCCUUCUUUAUAGUAAUAGAAUAAUGGUAAUAGUAAUAAUAAGUCCUUCUUUAUAGUAUAGUAAUGGUAUAAGCAUCAGGGACAUUAUACUUGUAGACAUCAAUAAAUAUUACAGUUACAAUAA